rnacentral:lncRNA from 1 species
CAGAAACUGUGUUUUUGCCUUGUUUUGUAUCACCAGUGCUUAUAUGCCUGACAUCCAGUAAGAACUUAACUGACUAGUAUCUACCUGGUACCAACCCCUGGAGAAACAUGGAGAUCCUGCUUCUGAGAGUGCAUGAGAGAAGGGCAGCCUUUUUCCUACACACUCAGAGCAUGUAAUGGUAUCUUCUGUUUCUUGUCAACUUAUUGUCGGGCUCAUAAACACUCUAGUUAUUAGGUGAGCUGGAAGUGAAUGUGGGUAUGAGAUACCAACAGAUGAAGGUUCAGUCUCCUUGGGUACUUUCAAGUGAGGAAAAAGAAAUGCUGUAAAACUGAGUAAGAGAGCAUUUCUCUAGCUGUUCACCACCAUGUGACUGUGAAUAUGGAACACCUCGUUUCUUCUCCUAAUGGCAGAUGAGCCAGCCUUGAGGAGUGACCUAAGGGACUGAUCCCAGAAGUGAAGCUACUCAGCUCUUGAGAUGCUAUGUCCUACAAGCAAGGGAAUAACUUGUCCAUUAUAACUAUCUCACACCUAAUGAAUUUGAUGAGAAGCAAUCAUUUAAGUUACUUGUGAUAUUCCUCAAUAAAAUCUCAUCCAAAAAUGAGAACCAUUUUUCUCAUUAAUUCUACUGAAGGAAUUUUGGAAGGAGUCCAUGGAAUAUGUUGCACCAGUCAAAUGGUUUAUAGAUGGAAAAAAAUACUUUAGAAGCAACGAUAAGAUCAUAUGGUCAGAUGAAGAACCAUUAAUUGGGGAAAGGACCAACUUUACUAAAAUGGAACCUCCUAAGGAAAUUCAAUCCAUAAAUUUUGAAAAUGGAAAAUUGCACAGUUUGUCAAACACUGUAAAACAAGAACAAAUGAUGAGCAAGGGAAGCUAUCUUGACUGCUUUUCUCCUUCAUGAGCUGGAUCACCCUAAACUCAAAGUAAGAGUUCAUCAAGUUUGGAUUCUGUUUGUAAGCUAAAUAAAAAUUACAUCUCCUGGUUGGGGGAAGUCCUAACAAAACAAUGAGGAGCACAUUCCUUGAGGGAUAGGAACAAUCUCAUCAAUCAUUCAGGACCUUUAAUGACCAACUGACCUCAGAACAGUUGGUCUUUACAGAAAACAGAAGGGAAGAGUCAUAAUGGUAUAAUGUUAAUUUCUCUUAUUCCCCUCUUUGAUUCACUCAAGAGCCACAGUCUCCUCAAUAAAUUACCAGCUGCUAUGACAAAUGCUUCAUCAUUUUUAAUCAUGAGGUUUAUGAUGACAAAUAAUGUAACAGGGAAAGGGGAAGAUGUU